rnacentral:rRNA from 1 species
GAUGAACGCUGGCGGCGUGCUUAACACAUGCAAGUCGAACGAAGCACUUAUCUUUGAAUCUUCGGAUGAAGAGGUUUGUGACUGAGUGGCGGACGGGUGAGUAACGCGUGGGUAACCUGCCUCAUACAGGGGGAUAACAGUUAGAAAUGACUGCUAAUACCGCAUAAGACCACGGAGCCGCAUGGCUCAGUGGGAAAAACUCCGGUGGUAUGAGAUGGACCCGCGUCUGAUUAGGUAGUUGGUGGGGUAACGGCCUACCAAGCCAACGAUCAGUAGCCGACCUGAGGGUGACCGGCCACAUUGGGACUGAGACACGGCCCAAACUCCUACGGGAGGCAGCAGUGGGGAAUAUUGCACAAUGGGGGAAACCCUGAUGCAGCGACGUCGCGUGAGCGAAGAAGUAUUUCGGUAUGUAAAGCUCUAUCAGCAGGGAAGAAAAUGACGGUACCUGACUAAGAAGCACCGGCUAAAUACGUGCCAGCAGCCGCCGUAA